rnacentral:lncRNA from 1 species
CCAGGAAUCUCCUCUGCCAUCUUGGCUCUGCCUUUUGCUAACCAGGUUGGCCUCGAUCUUUCUGCACACCAAGGAUCAGAUCCCCUCCCCCACCAUGGACCAGCGGGACUGGAGAUGGACUUAAGAUGAACCUGGCUGGGAGACCAUUGAAAGGCUGGAGACAGACUGACCUUCUCUUCCAAUCCUGGGAUCUAAUCUGCUAGAGCU